rnacentral:rRNA from 1 species
GCAAGUCGAACGGUAGCACAGAGAGCUUGCUCUCGGGUGACGAGUGGCGGACGGGUGAGUAAUGUCUGGGAAACUGCCUGAUGGAGGGGGAUAACUACUGGAAACGGUAGCUAAUACCGCAUAACGUCGCAAGACCAAAGAGGGGGACCUUCGGGCCUCUUGCCAUCAGAUGUGCCCAGAUGGGAUUAGCUAGUAGGUGGGGUAACGGCUCACCUAGGCGACGAUCCCUAGCUGGUCUGAGAGGAUGACCAGCCACACUGGAACUGAGACACGGUCCAGACUCCUACGGGAGGCAGCAGUGGGGAAUAUUGCACAAUGGGCGCAAGCCUGAUGCAGCCAUGCCGCGUGUAUGAAGAAGGCCUUCGGGUUGUAAAGUACUUUCAGCGGGGAGGAAGGGAGUAAGGUUAAUAACCUUAUUCAUUGACGUUACCCGCAGAAGAAGCACCGGCUAACUCCGUGCCAGCAGCCGCGGUAAUACGGAGGGUGCAAGCGUUAAUCGGAAUUACUGGGCGUAAAGCGCACGCAGGCGGUCUGUCAAGUCGGAUGUGAAAUCCCCGGGCUCAACCUGGGAACUGCAUCCGAAACUGGCAGGCUUGAGUCUCGUAGAGGGAGGUAGAAUUCCAGGUGUAGCGGUGAAAUGCGUAGAGAUCUGGAGGAAUACCGGUGGCGAAGGCGGCCUCCUGGACGAAGACUGACGCUCAGGUGCGAAAGCGUGGGGAGCAAACAGGAUUAGAUACCCUGGUAGUCCACGCCGUAAACGAUGUCUAUUUGGAGGUUGUGCCCUUGAGGCGUGGCUUCCGGAGCUAACGCGUUAAAUAGACCGCCUGGGGAGUACGGCCGCAAGGUUAAAACUCAAAUGAAUUGACGGGGGCCCGCACAAGCGGUGGAGCAUGUGGUUUAAUUCGAUGCAACGCGAAGAACCUUACCUGGUCUUGACAUCCACAGAACUUAGCAGAGAUGCUUUGGUGCCUUCGGGAACUGUGAGACAGGUGCUGCAUGGCUGUCGUCAGCUCGUGUUGUGAAAUGUUGGGUUAAGUCCCGCAACGAGCGCAACCCUUAUCCUUUGUUGCCAGCGGUCCGGCCGGGAACUCAAAGGAGACUGCCAGUGAUAAACUGGAGGAAGGUGGKGAUGACGUCAAGUCAUCAUGGCCCUUACGACCAGGGCUACACACGUGCUACAAUGGCGCAUACAAAGAGAAGCGACCUCGCGAGAGCAAGCGGACCUCAUAAAGUGCGUCGUAGUCCGGAUUGGAGUCUGCAACUCGACUCCAUGAAGUCGGAAUCGCUAGUAAUCGUGGAUCAGAAUGCCACGGUGAAUACGUUCCCGGGCCUUGUACACACCGCCCGUCACACCAUGGGAGUGGGUUGCAAAA